CCUACGGGAGGCUGCAGUGGGGGAUAUUGCACAAUGGGGGGAACCCUGAUGCAGCGACGCCGCGUGAGCGAAGAAUUACCUCGGUAUGUAAAGCUCUAUCAGCAGGGAAGAAAAUUACGGUACCUGACUAAGAAGCCCCGGCUAAAUCCGUGCCAGCAGCCGCGGCAAUACGGAGGGGGCAAGCGUUAUCCGGAUUUACUGGGUGUAAAGGGAGCGCAGGCGGCCUGCCAAGGCUGGUGUGAAAACCCGGGGCCCAACCCCGGGACUGCAUUGGAAACUGGCAUGCUGGAGUGUAGGAGGGGCAGGCGGAAUUCCUAGUGUAGCGGUGAAAUGCUGAGAUAUUAGGAGGAACACCGGUGGCGAAGGCAGCCUGCUGGACGGUGACUGACACUGAGGCUCGAAAGCGUGGGGAGCAAACAGGAUUAGAUACCCGGGUAGUC
rnacentral:rRNA from 1 species